CAGACUGAGGGCGAAACAGCAGGCAGGACUGGGUGGAGACGUUCGGGGACGUGGCAACUGGAGUUUCUUCUCCGUAUAUUUCGGCAUUCAGUUCCUUUUUUUUUUUGUUUUAACUCAGGAAAAAAUCUCAAUUGCGUUUAGUAUUUUGAAAGCCACUUUAUUGCUUCCCGAGCCUCAGUCAUGUGUGGUGGGAGGCUGCUGUGGGUGGCACCUGGGGCGUCCACGGCCGCCAAGGCGGGAGGACGUCAGGCCCUGCUUGCUCCCACCCCUUCCAGGUGAGAGCUCCCGGGCACGCCCGUCGUUGGCUCUUCGUCCUCUUGGUGUUCUUCCCUGUUGCUUCAAAUCAGGUUCCUGUCUCAAAAAUCCGAAAAAGAAAUCCUCCCAAAUGACUCUGUGCCCGACGCUCCGUUAAGGCAUCGUGCUAGGCGUUCUCAAACUCGUGAAAUGACUACACUGCACAGGUUAACCUCAUUGCUACUCUUCCCCUUGCCUCCUAAUUCUCUGGUUAAACUUCCGCCCCCGAGGUUUCUAGAAAUCCCUGAGCUGGAAUGCGCUGCCUUCAUUAAGAGGGUGUUCUGCUUCCGUCUGCUCACAUUCAUCUAGUAAGCCCUCUCGUUAAAGAGGAGGCAGCACACCGAGGCCUGUCUAGAACUUCUUUCAUUUAACCAACAGUGAAUAUCUAAUCUACAAGAAACUGGAGCCGUGGCAGUUUAGGAGCCUGCCAAGGUUGCAUCCCUGGGAGCUUAUUUUCUAUUGUGGGAGACAGGAAAAGAACAAGUGAAUCAACUGUGAAAUUAAAUAAUUCAAACUUAAAGCUGUUGGAACUUUAAAUUAUUCUGAGCCUUGCGAAGAAUGUGGCGAUGGGGCCUGAGUCCCAUGGCAUACAGCUGCAAUGUCUGCCUUGUUUUUUCCUAUAAUCAGGAAGACCAAACAGAGACAGAGGCGCACACACCAAGAAAGGCCAUGUGGGCACACAGCAAGAUGGUGCCUGUCUGCAAACUAGGAAAAGAGCCCUCACCAGGAACUGAAACAGCUGGCACCUUGAUGUUGGACUUUCCAGCCUCCACAACUGUGAGAGGCCAGCUGCCAGAAGCUUCUCACUCCGUGGAGACCUUGGAGUCGAGGAUGAAAUGUCUUACAACUGUGGGGAGACCUUGGCUUUUCCAAAGCCUACCAGGGUCCAGGUGAGAGCAGUGGUAACCCACAAGACUUGGAAGCUAAGGCCCAGAGAGGAGGAGAAACUUGAUCAAAGUCAAUCAGACAAUGCAGAAUCGAGAAAAGUACCUGGACCUCUAUGCCCAUGCUUCUAGCAGCCAGCCUCCUAAAAUACCUCUAGUUGAAGCCAAAGUUAGAAUCCUUCUACGAAACUACAGGAUUAAAAUGGAAUGGUUACAUGACCCAGGCUUGACCAAUCAGAUCAUCCAAACCCUUUGCCACAGUGAUUGGUCCAGGGAUACAUGCAUGAGCCAGCUCAGGUAAAUGAGACUCAAUUAUAAGAAUUUUGUUAGCGCAAUUGGGAAAAAGAAGUUUUCUUUCCAUGAGAACUAUCAGCUAUAAGAAUGUUGGAUGCUUCCAUCUGCUGGAGUCCAUGAAGAAGGUCCAUGAAAAUGAAGCCAGCACAACAACACAGAGCUAAGACAUACAAAGAGAUGGAGAUUAAAUUGAAUGGAACUUUUAAGCCCCUACAUGCCCUUGAAGCCAGAUAUCCCUGAACUUUUAAUUUAUAUUAGUUGAUAAAGUCCUUCUUUAGCUUAAGCCAAUUUGAAUUAGAGUAUUUUUCACUUGGGGUCCAAAAGAGCUCUCAAUACAAAAGUCUGACUGAGUGCAUGAUGUGCUGGUUUCAACCUCAAGGGAACAGGGAAAGGGAAAGAAAGAGGCAGAGGUUGUGAACAGGACAGUAGAAGGUGGUCAGGAGACAAAUAUCUGGACUCAACUUUGUCCCUACUGUGUGGCCUUGAAUAGUGAGUUAACCACUCCGAGCCUCAGUUUCCCCAUCUGGAAAAAAAAGUUAGUGGACAGUCACUAGUUCUCAGACAGAACUCUGUAGCAGCGAGAGGGUAAUGGGGAUUGAGAGUCCCAGACUUGCAUUCUGAGGGACUAGCUCUCCUCUUAUCUAUAUCAUAUACCAGGUUUUCUUGUAAGGUUUUGUUAGAAUGGGUCUCACUGUUAAAAUGGAUUAGCUGAUCAUUUCAGUUCUAUUUAUAUUAAAGUCUAAAUUGAAUCAAGGCUCAGCUGGGGCCCAGUAAGAAUGUAGUGCCUGGUUAAUAAUAUUUUCUACUCUAUGAUAGGAGUUGGCCAGAAGCCAAGGUCAAAAACUCAAUCCCUGGAGGGUUUAUUUGCUUUCUGCAGACAUAAAAAAUUGUUAAUAACAAUGAUCUGCAUCCCCAAUCUUGAGAGCUGUCUUAGAGAUGUGGGUCAUUGAUCACAGAAGGGGCUGGGAAAAGGAAUGUGGAUGAUUCCAAAUAGUCAUUAGCUCUGCCUUAAAUGCCAAUACAAACACUACUGCCAAUGCUCAAGGCAAGCAACCUCUUCAUAGCUAGAACACAGAGGGUGGUGUGCUUGAAGGCUUUUGUUUCUCCUCAAGACAGUGUAGAAAAAGCUGAGAAAACAAAGAGCACUUGUUUCACAAUUAACUGCACAACACCUGAUGUAUAUCCACAGUCCUCUAAAUUAAUAUGGAUUCGCUUUUCUUUAUAAAGACAACAUACACAUUGUAGUGGAAAUCGGAUGGGAGGAUAAUUUUUAUGAAAGCAUAUAACAGUAUUUUUAUAAAAUAUAAAUUAUCAUUACAGUAAAAUAUAUUAACUUCAAGGCAAGUUUUGACACUGUAUGCAAGUUUAAAGUAUUUCAAAUUUUUAAAAAGUGUAUCUUAACAAAUAAAUUUUAGCACCAAUUGCCAGAAUUGUUGUCCACCACUAUAGUCAAAACAAUUUUCUUUUCUUUAUUUCAACUAAAAAUUGUGAAUGGGACUAAAGUCUUUAUGCAAAUAUAUACUCCAAUAAUAAUAUUAAUCUUGCCAACAGUAGCUGAAUAUUUAAUUAACUUUAACAAACAUGUUGAAAGAUAAUAAACUAAAAAAACUAUUUUUCCUUAUAGUCUCUGUAUAACUAGGUGCUUUCUCAUUAGAAAGCUUAUUUUUUCAAAAGUAUAUAUAACAUAGGUAAUUUAUAUUAAUAAAAAAUAAAAAGUUGCAAAUUUCUUGAGGUGUAAUUUCUCAUGUUGAUUAACUUCUGAUCUCUAUCAUUUUGCUUACAUGUACCAUAGAUACACAAAAACCAGAUGGGGGGCAGGGUAAUCAAUCUUAGGAGAGGGCAAUAGUUAAGUCAGACUAGGCAGAGUCAAGACAAGAGGCAGGCAGAGGGUUAGUUGAGGGCAAGUUAUGAAUGCCUCAGAACACAUCUCAGGAUUUGGAAACAAGCAGUAGUCUGGUCAAAUCCAAACUGGGAAACACAGAUGGCG
rnacentral:lncRNA from 10 species